AGGAUGAACGCUGGCGGUCUGCUUAACACAUGCAAGUCGAACGGAGUAGCAAUACUUAGUGGCGGACGGGUGAGUAACGCGUGAGAAUCUACCUUCAGGACGGAGACAACAGUUGGAAACGACUGCUAACCCCCGAUGUACUGAAAAGGCAAAUAUUUAUAGCCUGAAGAAGAGCUCGCGUCCGAUUAGCUAGUUGGAGAGGUAAAAGCUCACCAAGGCGACGAUCGGUAGCUGGUCUGAGAGGACGAUCAGCCACACUGGGACUGAGACACGGCCCAGACUCCUACGGGAGGCAGCAGUGGGGAAUUUUCCGCAAUGGGCGAAAGCCUGACGGAGCAAGACCGCGUGGGGGAAGAAGGCUCUUGGGUUGUAAACCCCUUUUCUCUGGGAAGAACGCAAUGACGGUACCAGAGGAAUCAGCAUCGGCUAACUCCGUGCCAGCAGCCGC
rnacentral:rRNA from 1 species